GACAGUGUUGGCCACUGACAUUUUAGUUUUUUUCUCCUCUUUUUCUCCCCAGCAAAGAUUUGUUUUAGUUGAUGAAAAUGGCAACAGCAUCUUUCAUUUUAUUUGUCAGAGCUUCUACGGCCAAAGUAAACGAGAGGAGAGGAUCCAGACCUAGAGUGAAUCAACACUAGCAGCUCUAACUAAGUCACAGAGGCUAUAAGUGCUUAUGGGCAUUCUUCUGUGGAAUUGUUCCAGCUAUCAGAGUAUUGUUUGAAUAAUGACACAUUAAAU